rnacentral:rRNA from 1 species
GGAUGCGAUCAUACCAGCACUAAAGCACCGGAUCCCAUCAGAACUCCGAAGUUAAGCGUGCUUGGGCGAGAGUAGUACUAGGAUGGGCGAGAGUAGUACUAGGAUGGGUGACCUCCUGGGAAGUCCUCGUGUUGCAUCCC